AUGGCCCUGCAGGUGGAUGAAGCUCCUUCGCCAAAGCACCCUGAGAUGACACCUGCAGAUCCAGACCAGGGGCAGGGUCAGCAUCCAAACCUAACUCCCAUCAUGCUUCACCGUUUGGAUGUGGAACAUUCCAUCAAUCAGGAUUCUGUAAAUUACACCCCAGAAAGGGCUUUAACUGUGCGAAAGAGGCAGAAUGCUACCAGAGCUAUCAACAUACGUGAGCUCUGCACCUGCAAAAAUGCGACCCUGUCAUGUAUUGGUUUCAGCCCAAUGCAGAGGCUGCACCAAGUUCCUGUACUAGAGCCCGACACCUCCAACAGUACCUUCACCAUCUUAAAUUUCCAAGGAAACUCUAUUCAGGAUAUUCAAAAAAAGACAUGGAAAACAUACCAGUGGGCAGAGAAACUGUAUCUUCUUUCCAAAGGUGAUUACAGGGCCAGGGGUAUAGCUCAGUGGCUUAAGCACUUUCCUGAAGCCUGAGGUCAUGAGUUCGAUUCCUGGUACAAAAAAAAACAAAAGAUGAAAUAUGAAUACAAAAAACUUCUUUGUAAGAUCCUUCUUGGUCUAGAAUUUUGAGGUCAAUACCUCUGAAAAAAGGUAUUUCCUCACUUAUCCCAUAUCAGCCUCACUUGAUUGAAAUUCUCUAAGUAUGUUAAGAAUUAAAUUUCGUGGCGAUUGCGAGUAUAGCUCAGCAGUGAAACACUUGCUUAGGUGUGUGAGGCCUUAGAUUCAAGCCCUCGGGAGAGAGAGAGACAAAAAGAAGGAAAGGAAGGAAGGGAGGAAGAGAAGAAGGAAGGAAGGAAAGAAGGAAGGAAAAAAGAAAGAAUUAAAUUUUAUAAACACUGGGAAAUAAAUAAAUUUCAAUUAGUUUUCUUUAUACAAGGAAAACAUGAUUAUAUUCUUAAUGAAUAAAAACAAAAUGGCAAGUAUAGUAAAGACCUUCCUUAUGCUCUAAUGUUGUAUCAAUGAAGUAACCACUAGUCUGAGUUUGUAAUGUAUCUUUCCAGUUCUUUUCUCAUGCAUUUGUUUACAUACAUACUUAUUUACAGCAAACUAGGUUUGUCAGGUGGCUGUGGUUUUUUUUUUUUUUUUUUUUUUGCGGUACUGAGAAUCAAACUCAGGACCUUGUACUUGCCAGGCAGGCACUUAUACCACUGAGCUAUAUCCCUAGCCCAGGUGGCUGUGAUCUUAUUUUUCAUCUGUUUUUAAAUUUUAUUGAUACAUUUUAGCUGUAAUGAUUAUAGGAAAUUUGUACCUGUACUUAAUAUAUCUUCAUUCUUCCUUUUCCCACCUCUCCCUUCUACCUGUCUUUAUUUACAAAAGCUUUAUUUCCAUUUUCCCUUCUAUUCUCUUUUAUUUUUGCUUCCUUCUUCCUCCCUUUCCCCAUCUCUUGUUCCUCUUCCCGUUUGAAUAUUUUCUUUCCAUUUCCCAAUAAUUCUUAUAUAUUUUGAUUCUUUCAUUUUCUCACACCAGAGAAACAAUGCAGUAUUUAAACAUGUGUCCAAUAUAUUUCACGUAAGCGUGUACUCACAAUGUGUAUCCAUUUACCUAGAAGUGUCUCAAGUUUAUCCUUCUUUAUGGCAGAGUGGUAUUCCACAGUAGUACCCACAUCUUCUUUACCCAUCCAUCCACUGAUGGGCAUUAUUAACCUUGAACUGUUGAAUUAUUGAGCUGUUUCCAAGAUCUAGCUAUUACACAUUGUGAUGCUAUAAACAUGGAUGUGUAUCUGUUGCUAUAGUGUGAUGCUUUUCAUUCCUUUGGGAAGAUAUCAAGAAGAAGAAUUGCUGGGUCAAAUGAAACCUGUAGUUAUAAUUUUUUGAGGAUUCUCCACGCUGAUUUCUACAGUGGUUGCACCAGUGUAUACUCCCACUAACAGUGGAGAAGGGUUCCUUUAACCCCACAGCCCCACCAGCAUUUGUUAUUGGUUGAUUUCUUGAUAAUUGCUAUUCUUUCUGGAAUGAGAUAGAAUCUCAGCGUUGUUUUAACUUGCAUCUCUGCAAUGACCAGUGAUGUGAACAUUUUUUUAAAUAUAUGUCUAUCUACCACUUCUAGUUCUUCAUGUGAGAAGUGUCUUCAUUUCAAAUGCCCAUUUUUGAAUUGGGCCUUUAAAUUUGGGGAGGAUCUGAUUGUUUUGAGUUCUUUGUAUAGUCUAGAUAUUACUCCUUGGAGCAACAGCUGGCAACAUUUUUUCCCACUCUGUGGGUUAUCUUUUUACUCUGUUUUUCUUUUUUUUUUUCUGUGCAAAAGCUUUUUGUUUGUUUUUGAGACAGGGUCUUGCUAUGUGGUACAGGCUGGCCUUGGACUCAGUUAUGGAGCCCAGGGGGGCCUCCAACUCAUGGCAGUUCUCCUGCCUCAGCCUUCUGAGUGCGAGGAUUACAGGCAUGCACCACCACACCUGAUCUUCAAAAGCUUUUUAAUAAGUGCAGGUCCUAGUUGUUGAUUGUUUGUUAUUUCUGUGUGAUUAGUGUUGUGUUCCUAAAGCCUUUGCCUGCACCUAUGUCUUCAAGAGUUCUACCUAUUUAUCUUCCAGCAGAUUUAGUGUUUCUGUUUUAAUAUUUAGAUAUUUAAUUUAUAUUAUUUUUAGUUUAGUGCAUAGUGAAUGAUAUGGGUCUAGUUUUAAUCUUUGAGAUAUGGAGAGCCAGUUUUUCCAGCACCAUUUAUUAAAGAAGCUCUCUUUUUCCACGGAGGGCAUUUGUCCCUUUGUCGGAGAUAAGGUGGCUCAGUGUGUUUGGAGUUGUUUCUCCAUCUUGUACUCUGUUCCACUGAUCCUCAGGUCUUUUUUUUUUUUAACUAGUACCGUGCUGUUUUUAUCAUGGUAGUUGUGUAGUAUAACUUUUGUUUUUUGUUUUUGCUUUUUGAGGUAGGCUCUUUCUGUGUAAUCCAGGCUGACCUUGAGCUUGCUGUAUAACCCAGGCUAUCCUCAAACUCAUGUGAUCCUUCUUCCUCAGCCUCCUAAAUGAUGGCAUUAUAGGCAUGCCGUACCAUGCCUGGCUAUAGUAUAAUUUCACAUUGGGGAUUGUGAUAUCCCCCUGCUUUGCCUUUGUGCCCAGAAUUACGUUUGCUAUUCUGGGUCUUUUCUGGUUCCAAAUUAGUUUUAGGACGGUUUUCUUUAAUUCUGUGAGGUAUGUUACUAGUUGUUUUUUUUGUUUGUUUGUUUGUUUUUUGGGGCUUUUUUUUGUUUGUUUCUUUGAGACAGGGUCUUACUAUGUAUUUCAGAGUCACCUUGAACUCACUAUGUAGUCUAGUCUGGCCUCAAACUUGUGGUGAUCCUCCUACCUCAGCCUCUCUCCCUAGUGCUGGGAUUACAGGUAUGCGCUCCCACACCUGACUGCUGUUGGUAUUUUGAUUGUAAUUGUAUUAAAUCUGUGUAUCAGCUUUGGAAGCAUGGCCAUUUUCACUCUACUGAUUCUUACUGCCCCAGAACAAGAGAUAUACAUUUUCAGAUAGCCUCUUUGAUCUCCUUCUCAGAGAACUGUAGUUUUCAAUGUAAAAAUCUUUUGCUUUGUUUGUUAGGUUGAUUCUGAAGUAUUUCAGUUUUUAUGAUACUGUUAUGAAAGUUGUGAAAGGUCUAUGUAAUUUCUCUUUCAGUGAAUUUAGUAUUUGUGUACAGGAAUGCUAUUGAUAUUUGAGUGUUGACUUUGUAUCCAGCUAUCCUACUGUAUUU
ensembl:lincRNA